GAUGAACGCUGGCGGCGUGCCUAACACAUGCAAGUCGAGCGAUUCUCUUCGGAGAAUAGCGGCGGACGGGUGAGUAACGCGUGGGUAACCUGCCCUGUACACACGGAUAACAUACCGAAAGGUAUGCUAAUACGGGAUAAUAUAAGAAAUUCGCAUGUUUUUCUUAUCAAAGCUCCUGCGGUACAGGAUGGACCCGCGUCUGAUUAGCUAGUUGGUAAGGUAACGGCUUACCAAGGCGACGAUCAGUAGCCGACCUGAGAGGGUGAUCGGCCACAUUGGAACUGAGACACGGUCCAAACUCCUACGGGAGGCAGCAGUGGGGAAUAUUGCACAAUGGGCGAAAGCCUGAUGCAGCAACGCCGCGUGAGCGAUGAAGGCCUUCGGGUCGUAAAGCUCUGUCCUCAAGGAAGAUAAUGACGGUACUUGAGGAGGAAGCCCCGGCUAACUACGUGCCAGCCGCCGCCGUAA
rnacentral:rRNA from 1 species